rnacentral:rRNA from 1 species
GAUGAACGCUGGCGGCGUGCCUAAUACAUGCAAGUCGAGCGAACAGAUGAGGAGCUUGCUCCUCUGACGUUAGCGGCGGACGGGUGAGUAACACGUGGAUAACCUACCUAUAAGACUGGGAUAACUUCGGGAAACCGGAGCUAAUACCGGAUAAUAUAUUGAACCGCAUGGUUCAAUAGUGAAAGACGGUUUUGCUGUCACUUAUAGAUGGAUCCGCGCCGCAUUUGCUAGUUGGUAAGGUAACGGCUUACCAAGGCAACGAUGCGUAGCCGACCUGAGAGGGUGAUCGCCCACACUGGAGCUGAGACACGGUCCAGGCUCCUACGGGAGGCAGCAGUAGGGAAUCUUCCGCAAUGGGCGAAAGCAUGACGGAGCAACGCCGCGUGAGUGAUGAAGGUCUUCGGAUCGUGAAACUCUGUUAUUGGGGAAGAACAACUGUGUAAGUAACUAUGCACGUCUUGACGGUACCUAAUCAGAAAGCCACGGCUAACUACGUG